CUGACUUGCCCAGUCUGGAAGCUCCCUGAAAGCCUGGCAGGCCACCCUACUUCAGCUGCAUUCGGUCCAUACACUGAGGGUCUCAGUGGGGAAAAAGCAGAGUCAUUUUAAAGAAACAUGGAUCUUAGUUUCUAGAAGGUUUUUCCCCAUCUGGCAGACAAAUUUAUGCCUAUUCCACACACAGUUCUGGAGGCUGGGAGGUUCAAGAUCAAGAUGCAGGCAGAUUCAUCUCCUGUUUAAAGUAGAGAUAUCAUGGGGAAAAGUGAGAAGUGACAUGUAUAAUUAUGGUCACAUUGAGGGAGGAAGAGACACCAUCUGGAAUGCAGGCAGAAAGCCAUGUGAAGCUCCCUGUGAGGGAAGGACUGUGGAACUGUCAAUCAUGACCAUGAGCCUUAUGCCUGAACACUCUUUCAGAUCACAAGUAGUUGCCUGUUAAAGUUGGAAUAAUGUGGAGAGAGAGUACUGAAGGGAAAGAUGGACACUACCGGUUCCGUGGCCCAGGGUUUUGGAAGAGGCGGCCUCCGGAUGACUGGAUGCACUUCUCCCUGGGACUCACCCUGUGUCGUUACAGCUCGAGCUUACUGAAAAUAACAGACAGACACCUCCACUUGUCCCCUCCAACAGAGUGGCUGCACUGGCAGCUCUCUAAUGAGUUCUAACCCCAUAGGGGCAGUUAUGAAACUGAUGCAAAAAGGAUACAAUCAAGAUAGAAGUCAAUAAGGAGCACAGAAGGCAUGAGUAAGACUUGCAUCAGAGAGGCCAAAACCCAAAAUGCGCUGGGGGUUGUGGGAGCGGCUGAAGAGCCUGGAGAAGCCGCUUAUAGUCAUUUUAAGUCAGAUUAAAGGAGUGUGUUUGGCUGACGAGAGGACCCCAUGCUUGCAUGUAUGGAGCCUUAUCUCAGCUUCCAUACCUACAAAGGGGACAUGAUUGGUGUCUACCCCAGAGAGUGGUUUUAAGAAUUAAACAAAAUGACGUGUGUGAAACUCUUGGAACAGUGUCUGGUUCAUGGCAGGAGGUGUCCGUGACGUGCCUGAGGCCAUUUGUGUGCUUACCUGUGUGUUUCUGUAAAGCAGACCCAGUGCAGGGCACCAGGGAUGUGGUGGGAGCCACACGGGAUGAUGACGUUCCUACCCUCAGGGAGCUCACACUUACGAGGGGGCAGUAGAGGUUGGGAGUGGAUAGCCUUGGAGGAGAGGGGUGGGGGUUGUCGGGAAGAGGGAGGGCUUACCUGAGCAGGAGCUGUUGAAACUGCAAGGGAGGCGGCUGGGUGGUGAGGGCAGAGCAGCAGCAAAAGGUUGGGGAUAAGGAACUGAGAGUGGGCCCUGACUGCUGAACAGGGACUGCUGUGGCAAGAGGCUUGGAGGAAGCAGAACUCAGGCACUUUCUGUUUGGUUUUAGUCUUCCUUGACAAACAGAAUCAAUUUCAGAUGAAAACGGCUUCAAUAUUGCAGAGAGGAAAUCAAAAGAGCAACUUAGCCGAGUGUGGUGGUGCAUCUGUAGUCCCAGCCACU
rnacentral:lncRNA from 1 species